CGAUGUCGGCUCAUCGCAUCCUGGGGGUGGAGAAGCUCCCAAGGGUUCGGCUGUUCGCCGAUGAAAGCGGUACGUGAGCUGGGUUUAGACCGUCGUGAGACAGGUCGGUCCCUAUCUGCUGUGGGCGGAGGAAACUUGAGGGGCUUUCUCCCUAGUACGAGAGGACUGGGAGGGACACACCUCUGGUGUGCCAGUUGUCGCGCUAGCGGCACCGCUGGGUAGCCACGUGUGGACGGGAUAAACGCUGAAAGCAUAUAAGCGUGAAACCUCCCCCAAGAUCAGGUUUCCUGCCGAAAGGCGAAGGCUCCUGGAAGACGACCAGGUUGAUAGGCCGGACGUGCAAGUGCAGCAAUGCACUCAGCUAACCGGUACUAACAGCCGAGCGCUUGGCCGCAUUGCUCACUCUC
rnacentral:rRNA from 1 species